rnacentral:rRNA from 1 species
UACGAAGGGGGCUAGCGUUGCUCGGAAUCACUGGGCGUAAAGCGCACGUAGGCGGCUUCUAAGUCAGGGGUGAAAUCCUGGAGCUCAACUCCAGAACUGCCUUUGAUACUGGCGAUCUUGAGUCCGGGAGAGGUGAGUGGAACUGCGAGUGUAGAGGUGAAAUUCGUAGAUAUUCGCAAGAACACCAGUGGCGAAGGCGGCUCACUGGCCCGGUACUGACGCUGAGGUGCGAAAGCGUGGGGAGCAAACAGGG